GUGGGGAAUAUUGGACAAUGGGCGAAAGCCUGAUCCAGCCAUGCCGCGUGUGUGAAGAAGGUCUUCGGAUUGUAAAGCACUUUAAGUUGGGAGGAAGGGCAGUAAGUUAAUACCUUGCUGUUUUGACGUUACCGACAGAAUAAGCACCGGCUAACUUCGUACCAGCAGCCGCGGUAAUACGAAGGGUGCAAGCGUUAAUCGGAAUUACGGGGCGUAAAGCGCGCGUAGGUGGUUUUGUAAGUUGGAGGUGAAAUCCCCGGGCUCAACCUGGGAACUGCCUCCAAAACUGCAUGACUAGAGUACGGUAGAGGGUAGUGGAAUUUCCUGUGUAGCGGUGAAAUGCGUAGAUAUAGGAAGGAACACCAGUGGCGAAGGCGACUACCUGGACUGAUACUGACACUGAGGUGCGAAAGCGUGGGGAGCAAACAGGAUUAGAUACCCCAGUAGUCC
rnacentral:rRNA from 1 species